AAAUUGAAGAGUUUGAUCAUGGCUCAGAUUGAACGCUGGCGGCAGGCCUAACACAUGCAAGUCGAACGGUAACAGGAAGCAGCUUGCUGCUUCGCUGACGAGUGGCGGACGGGUGAGUAAUGUCUGGGAAACUGCCUGAUGGAGGGGGAUAACUACUGGAAACGGUGGCUAAUACCGCAUAACGUCGCAAGACCAAAGAGGGGGACCUUCGGGCCUCUUGCCAUCAGAUGUGCCCAGAUGGGAUUAGCUUGUUGGUGAGGUAACGGCUCACCAAGGCGACGAUCCCUAGCUGGUCUGAGAGGAUGACCAGCCACACUGGAACUGAGACACGGUCCAGACUCCUACGGGAGGCAGCAGUGGGGAAUAUUGCACAAUGGGCGCAAGCCUGAUGCAGCCAUGCCGCGUGUAUGAAGAAGGCCUUCGGGUUGUAAAGUACUUUCAGCGGGGAGGAAGGUGUUGCGGUUAAUAACCGCAGCAAUUGACGUUACCCGCAGAAGAAGCACCGGCUAACUCCGUGCCAGCAGCCGCGGUAAUACGGAGGGUGCAAGCGUUAAUCGGAAUUACUGGGCGUAAAGCGCACGCAGGCGGUCUGUCAAGUCGGAUGUGAAAUCCCCGGGCUCAACCUGGGAACUGCAUUCGAAACUGGCAGGCUUGAGUCUUGUAGAGGGGGGUAGAAUUCCAGGUGUAGCGGUGAAAUGCGUAGAGAUCUGGAGGAA
rnacentral:rRNA from 2 species